rnacentral:rRNA from 1 species
AGAUUGAACGCUGGCGGCAUGCCUUACACAUGCAAGUCGAACGGCAGCACGGGAGCAAUCCUGGUGGCGAGUGGCGAACGGGUGAGUAAUAUAUCGGAACGUGCCCUGGAGUGGGGGAUAACUAGUCGAAAGACUAGCUAAUACCGCAUACGAUCUACGGAUGAAAGUGGGGGAUCGCAAGACCUCAUGCUCGUGGAGCGGCCGAUAUCUGAUUAGCUAGUUGUGGGUAAAGGCUACCAAGGCAUCGAUCAGUAGCUGGUCUGAGAGGACGACCAGCCACACUGGGACUGAGACACGGCCCAGACUCCUACGGGAGCAGCAGUGGGAAUUUGGACAAUGGCGCAAGCCUGAUCCAGCAAUGCGCGUGAGUGAAGAGCUUAGGUGUAAGCUUCUUUAGUCGAGGUAAGAACGUUCUAGGUCUAAUACCGUUAGGA